CAUUCAGUAGCGAGCUUAACCGAGUAGGGGAGGCGUAGGGAAACCGAGUCUUAAUAGGGCGACUAGUUGCUGGGUGUAGACCCGAAACCGAGUGAUCUAUCCAUGGCCAGGAUGAAGGUGCGGUAAAACGCAUUGGAGGUCCGAACCCACGCAUGUUGCAAAAUGUGGGGAUGAGCUGUGGAUAGGGGUGAAAGGCUAAACAAACUCGGAGAUAGCUGGUUCUCCCCGAAAACUAUUUAGGUAGUGCCUCGAGUAUGAGACUGAUGGGGGUAAAGCACUGUUAUGGCUAGGGGGUUAUUGCAACUUACCAACCCAUGGCAAACUAAGAAUACCAUCAAGUUGCUCCUCGGGAGACAGACAUCGGGUGCUAACGUCCGGUGUCAAGAGGGAAACAACCCAGACCGCCAGCUAAGGUCCCAAAUGAUAGAUUAAGUGGUAAACGAAGUGGGAAGGCACAGACAGCCAGGAUGUUGGCUUAGAAGCAGCCAUCAUUUAAAGAAAGCGUAAUAGCUCACUGGUCGAGUCUUCCUGCGCGGAAGAUGUAACGGGGCUCAAAUCUAUAACCGAAGCUGCGGAUAUACUUUUGUAUAUGGUAGGGGAGCGUUCUGUAAGCCUGUGAAGGUGACUUGUAAAGGUUGCUGGAGGUAUCAGAAGUGCGAAUGUUGACAUGAGUAGCGAUAAAGCGGGUGAAAAGCCCGCUCGCCGAAAGCCCAAGGUUUCCUACGCAACGUUCAUCGGCGUAGGGUGAGUCGGCCCCUAAGGCGAGGCAGAAAUGCGUAGUCGAUGGGAAACAGGUUAAUAUUCCUGUACUUUGAUUCAAUGCGAUGUGGGGACGGAGAAGGUUAGGUUAGCAAACUGUUGGAAUAGUUUGUUUAAGCCAGUAGGUGGAAAGAGUAGGCAAAUCCGCUCUUUCUUAACACCGAGACGUGAUGACGAGUGUCUACGGACAUGAAGUGACCAAUACCACGCUUCCAGGAAAAGCCACUAAGCUUCAGUUGAAUCAGAACCGUACCGCAAACCGACACAGGUGGGCAGGAUGAGAAUUCUAAGGCGCUUGAGAGAACUCGGGAGAAGGAACUCGGCAAAUUGAUACCGUAACUUCGGGAGAAGGUAUGCCCUCUAAUGUUAAGGACUUGCUCCGUAAGCAUCUGAGGGUCGCAGAGAAUCGGUGGCUGCGACUGUUUAUUAAAAACACAGCACUCUGCUAACACGAAAGUGGACGUAUAGGGUGUGACGCCUGCCCGGUGCUGGAAGGUUAAUUGAAGAUGUGCAAGCAUCGGAUCGAAGCCCCAGUAAACGGCGGCCGUAACUAUAACGGUCCUAAGGUAGCGAAAUUCCUUGUCGGGUAAGUUCCGACCCGCACGAAUGGCGUAACGAUGGCCACACUGUCUCCUCCCGAGACUCAGCGAAGUUGAAAUGGUUGUGAAGAUGCAAUCUCCCCGCUGCUAGACGGAAAGACCCCGUGAACCUUUACUGUAGCUUUGCAUUGGACUUUGAAGUCACUUGUGUAGGAUAGGUGGGAGGCUUUGAAGCAGAGACGCCAGUCUCUGUGGAGCUGUCCUUGAAAUACCACCCUGGUGACUUUGAGGUUCUAACCCAGACCCGUUAUCCGGGUCGGGGACCGUGCAUGGUAGGCAGUUUGACUGGGGCGGUCUCCUCCCAAAGAGUAACGGAGGAGUUCGAAGGUUACCUAGGUCCGGUCGGAAAUCGGACUGAUAGUGCAAUGGCAAAAGGUAGCUUAACUGCGAGACCGACAAGUCGAGCAGGUGCGAAAGCAGGACAUAGUGAUCCGGUGGUUCUGAAUGGAAGGGCCAUCGCUCAACGGAUAAAAGGUACUCCGGGGAUAACAGGCUGAUUCCGCCCAAGAGUCCAUAUCGACGGCGGAGUUUGGCACCUCGAUGUCGGCUCAUCACAUCCUGGGGCUGUAGUCGGUCCCAAGGGUAUGGCUGUUCGCCAUUUAAAGUGGUACGUGAGCUGGGUUUAAAACGUCGUGAGACAGUUUGGUCCCUAUCUGCAGUGGGCGUUGGAAGUUUGACGGGGGCUGCUCCUAGUACGAGAGGACCGGAGUGGACGAACCUCUGGUGUACCGGUUGUUUCGCCAGAAGCAUAGCCGGGUAGCUAAGUUCGGAAGAGAUAAGCGCUGAAAGCAUCUAAGCGCGAAACUCGCCCAAAGAUGAGACUUCCCUUGUGGUUUAACCAUACUAAAGAGUCGUUCGAGACCAGGACGUUGAUAGGUUGGGUGUGGAAGAGUGG
rnacentral:rRNA from 1 species